UGGGGUGGGCAUGCAAAAGAUUGAAAGGGAUCUUUUGCAAACACAAUCACGUCCUUAAAUGGAAAUGCGGGGCUUGAAACAAAUCUUCCAUCUCUGGCGUCGCAUUCGCCUCAAAAGUGGCCAGUGGGCCGCACGUCGCCCUCCUCGCGGACGCCAAAGUGCUGCCGUUCAACUCGCUUUCCUCCUUCUUCUCCUUCUUCUUCUUCUUCUUCUUCUUUUUCUUCUUCGUGGUCGUCGUCGCCACGCACGCCAACCUUGACGCGUGCGCAGUCGAUUUAUUGACAGCGGCGUUGGGGCGCACGAGACAUAUUUUGGGGGCAGCUUUGAAAGGUUCGGGUGAAGAUAAGCAGAGGAAUUUCAGCCCAGUGAAUAUGGAUUGGGUCUCUACUUCUAGACAACAGCACGGAUACAGAGCGGCUGAGUGAGGAGUUGGUGGGCGGGGCCUCCAGCAGUGCACCUGUCAUGAGUUUGACAAUCAGCUGUUUUGGAAGGGAAGCUGAGGCAUGUUCUUCUAAUCUUAUUCAGAGCCGCUUCCUGGUUAAUGUUCUCCUUUGGGCCCGUUGUUUCCACCUGCGGCUAGCUUUGCCUUACACUCGUAGAGCUGCGGGUUCAAACCGGGAUGGAUUUACACUGCCAGGUCGCGCGCAACUCACCUUGCAAUCGCCUCACGACGCUUGACUUGACUUGACAUUUCAUUCAUGUUUUCUGCAACCAUCAGCACCGGCUGCAAAGCGACAGCGGGAAAGCCUUUCUUUCCGUCGAGCCCCAUACUGGGCGACGACCAAGAACGGGUGUGCAAAGGUUUUCGCCGCCGUGACGUUCACAAAGUCCCGAUUUCACGUCAUUCAUUUUCCAUUGGCCGAUUUUGCUUACAGCAAACACCUUCACGACUUCAACUUCAUAAGAACGACCUGGAUAUUUUUCCCACCAAAUAGUGAAAAGGCCCUUCGGUACGAUGAACCACGGGAAGCUAACUCGCUUUCAGGAUUGAUUUUCAUCUUUCUUGAUGUGGGUAACAAACAUCUUUUCGAUUUGCAGAACAGUUCCUGCUCCCUUCAAUAUUCU